ensembl:lncRNA
CUUGGAUAGCUGAUACAUGAGACUAAAAUAGAAUAGAAUGCCAUGAGGAAAACAUCAGGAAAAUUCUUGACAUUUGCCCUCUCAUAUUUGCGGUGAUCAUGUUGUGACAUCAAAUUUCGCCCUAACACUAACAGAGAAAAAUGUUUCUUCAAGCUGACAUUGUUACUUUUCAAUUGUUGGUAACUCUUUUGGCAUUAAAUAUUCUUCUCCUCUUCAUCCAUCCUACAGAAAAUGUCCUCUUUUCAGGACUUCUUCUCUUUCUCCCUUUACUAACUACCUGGGGAAAAUAGUAAAGAUUAUUUUAACCUGAAUCCAUUACAUUGCAGACUCUUCGAAGUCUCGAGGUAUGACAUGGAAAGGACUUUCUACCUGGGCAAUUUCUCAUAUUCCAGUGUAUGAAUGGAAAAGGACACAUUCCUCACUGUUCUUCAGUGUCCAUUCAUAUCAGCAUUCAUCCACCAUUCAUCCACUAUCUGUGCGCCUGAGGUUUUGCUUAGAGGCCCACAUCUGGCACAGCAGCUGCAGUCCAAGGAUUAUGAAGAAGGGAUGAAACCACCCAGGAACACCCUGCUGUUACCACCCAAAUAACAAUCACACCCUAAGCCAUCUGCUCAUCAAAAUGUCUGUGAUACGAAAGCUUUAUGAGAGUCACAAUAUCUUGUUCCUUCCCAAUCGGAGACUGAUUUUUUUUAUCUGUCAUUUCAUAAGUUAAUUUCUCUGCCUUUGUAAACUUUAUUAGGAUUUAGUUUCUACCUUCAUGAAAUAGUUCAUCUUUCUCUUAUACCAGAUGCCCUACUUCCACCCUCUCAACUUCCUUUAUAUUAUUUAUAAAUCAUAUCUCAUUUUUUCUGUACUUUUCCUAAUCCCACAAGAGCAUAAGGACAUGGAAUUGAGAUCCAAGAAGGCAAUAUAGCGUAAUAAGGGGAGCCACCUUUUGAGCACUUGCUCAGUGAGAACGAGGCACUGUUGAGUGCCCUGCAGGCAUUAGCUCGUUGACAUCUCACAGUAACUCUCUGAAGUAGGCAUUAGUAUCAGCUUCCUUACAGAGAUGAUGAAACUUGAGCCUCCAAAAAAUGGAAUAAUUUGCCUGUAGUAGCACUGGAAGCAUGUGUCAGGGCCAGAACCUGAACCCAGUUAUUUAACUCAAAAGCCCACAUUCCUAAAAGAGUACUCCACAGGCAAAACAAGGGGUUUGGAUUCAACCAGAACUGGGAUUGAAUUUGCCAGUGUCAAGUGUCACUAUUAUAGUGGAGAGCAACUCCGAGCCUCCCAGCGAGGUGGGCUCCCCAACUCCACAACCCUGCUGAACGCCAUCUACCCUUUUCGCGUUGAGAAAUCAUUGUCAAAGAGUUUUCCAUUUUAGCCAUUAAUCUUUUUUUUCCCAUUUCUUUUUUUUUUUUUUAAGGAGGCUCCACACCCAUCACGGAGCCCAGUUUGAGGCCUAAGCUCACAACCCCAACAUCAUCACCUGAGCCAAGAUCAAGAGCCAGGUGCUUAACCAACUGAGCCACCCAGGGGGCCUCCUUUUUUUCAUUUCUUCAGUAUAAAAU